UCCCAGCAGUCCAAGUCGCAGCCACAUUUGUUGGGUCUAAAAUAUCCGUAGCUUGCCUUGUAAGUCUUUUGUGAAAUCUGGCCUCUUAAGGGUCGGGCGAGCAAAAGAUACUGCUUGGCUAGAGACCGGGAGACGUAAGGAGUACGAUAAGGGUAGCGGUAAAAUGCGUUGAUCCUUAUCGGACUAACAAUAGCGAAGGCACCUUACGAGAACGGUUCUGACAGUGAGGGAUGAAGGCUAGGGGCGCAAAGUG
rnacentral:rRNA from 1 species